UACGUAGGGGGCUAGCGUUGUCCGGAUUUAUUGGGCGUAAAGAGCGUGUAGGCGGCCAGAUAGGUCUGCUGUGAAAACUCGAGGCUCAACCUCGAGAUGUCGGCGGAAACCAUUUGGCUAGAGUCCGGAAGAGGAAAGUGGAAUUCCUGGUGUAGCGGUGAAAUGCGCAGAUAUCGGGAAGAACACCCGUGGCGAAGGCGGCUCUCUGGGACGGUACUGACGCUGAGACGCGAAAGCGUGGGGAGCAAACGGG
rnacentral:rRNA from 1 species